rnacentral:rRNA from 1 species
GACGAACGCUGGCGGCGUGCUUAACACAUGCAAGUCGAACGGAAAGGCCCUGCUCUUGUGGGGUGCUCGAGUGGCGAACGGGUGAGUAACACGUGAGUAACCUGCCCUUGACUUUGGGAUAACUUCAGGAAACUGGGGCUAAUACCGGAUAGGAGCUCCUGCUGCAUGGUGGGGGUUGGAAAGUUUCGGCGGUUGGGGAUGGACUCGCGGGUUAUCAGCUUGUUGGUGGGGUAGUGGCUUACCAAGGCUUUGACGGGUAGCCGGCCUGAGAGGGUGACCGGCCACAUUGGGACUGAGAUACGGCCCAGACUCCUACGGGAGGCAGCAGUGGGGAAUAUUGCACAAUGGGCCGAAGCCUGAUGCAGCAACGCCGCGUGCGGGAUGACGGCCUUCGGGUUGUAAACCGCUUUCGCCUGUGACGAAGCGUGAGUGACGGUAAUGGGUAAAGAAGCACCGGCUAACUACGUG